AGAGUUUGAUCAUGGCUCAGGAUGAACGCUGGCGGCGUGCUUAACACAUUCAAGUCGAACGGGAGUUCAAUUGGGAGCUUGCUCCCGGUCUGAACUUAGUGGCGGACGGGUGAGUAAUGCAUGAGCAACCUGCCUUCGAGGAGGGGGAUAACAUCGGGAAACCGGUCGCUAAUACCGCGAUAGAGCAUUUUGCAGGCAUCUGCGAGAUUGGGGAAAAGGAGCAAUCCGCCUGGAGAUGGGC
rnacentral:rRNA from 1 species